UGGGGCGUAGCCAAGCGGUAAGGCAACGGGUUUUGAUCCCGUCAGGCGCAGGUUCGAAUCCUGCCGCCCCAACCA
rnacentral:tRNA from 14 species